GGGAAUAUUGCACAAUGGGCGAAAGCCUGAUGCAGCGACGCCGCGUGAGGGAUGACGGCCUUCGGGUUGUAAACCUCUUUCAGCAGGGACGAAGCGAAAGUGACGGUACCUGCAGAAGAAGCACCGGCCAACUACGUGCCAGCAGCCGCGGUAAUACGUAGGGUGCAAGCGUUGUCCGGAAUUAUUGGGCGUAAAGAGCUCGUAGGCGGCUUGUCGCGUCGGCUGUGAAAACCUGGGGCUCAACCCCGGGCCUGCAGCCGAUACGGGCAAGCUAGAAUUCGGUAGGGGAGACUGGAAUUCCUGGUGUAGCGGUGAAAUGCGCAGAUAUCAGGAGGAACACCGGUGGCGAAGGCGGGUCUCUGGGCCGAUAUUGACGCUGAGGAGCGAAAGCGUGGGGAGCAAACAG
rnacentral:rRNA from 1 species